rnacentral:rRNA from 1 species
UACGUAGGGCGCAAGCGUUGUCCGGAAUUAUUGGGCGUAAAGAGCUCGUAGGCGGUCUGUUACGUCUGCUGUGAAAACUCGAGGCUUAACCUCGAGCUGUCGGCGGAAACCAUCUGGCUAGAGUCCGGAAGAGGAGAAUGGAAUUCCCGGUGUAGCGGUGAAAUGCGCAGAUAUCGGGAAGAACACCCGUGGCGAAGGCGGUUCUCUGGGACGGUACUGACGCUGAGACGCGAAAGCGUGGGGAGCGAACAGG